GAAAUGCGAUAAGUAAUGUGAAUUGCAGAAUUCAGUGAAUCAUCGAAUCUUUGAACGCACCUUGCGCUCCUUGGUAUUCCUUGGAGCAUGCCUGUUUGAGUAUCAUGAAAUCUUCAAAGUAAAUCUUUUGUUAACUCAAUUGGUUUCUACUUUGGUAUUGGAGGUCUUUGCAGCUUCACACCUGCUCCUCUUUGUUCAUUAGCUGGAUCUCAGUGUUAUGCUUGGUUCCACUCGGCGUGAUAAGUUAUCUAUCGCUGAGGACACUGUAAAAAGUGGCCAAGGUAAAUGCAGAUGAACCGCUUCUAAUAGUCCAUUGACUUGGACAAUACUUUUAUGACCUGAUCUCAAAUCAGGUAGGACUACCCGCUGAACUUAAGC
rnacentral:misc_RNA from 1 species